rnacentral:lncRNA from 8 species
UGUAGUAGUAGUAGUAGUGUUAGUAGUAGUAGUAGUAGUGUUAGUAGUAGUAGUAGUAGUAGUAGUGUUAGUAGUAGUAGUAGUAGUGUUAGUAGUAGUAGUAGUAGUAGUGUUAGUAGUAGUAGUAGUGUUAGUAGUAGUGUUGGUAGUAGUAGUACUAGUAGUAGUGUUAGUAGUAGUAGUAGUAGUAGUGUUAGUAGUAGUAGUGUUAGUAGUAGUAGUAGUAGUGUUAGUAGUAGUAGUAGUGUUAGUAGUAGUAGUGUUAGUAGUAGCAGUAGUGUUAGUAGUAGUAGUAGUAGUAGUAGUAGCAGUAGUGUUAGUAGUAAUAGCUGUAGUAGUAGUGUUAGUAGUAGCAGUAGUAGUAGUAGUAGUGUUAGUAGCAGUAGUAGCAGUAGUGUUAGUAGUAGUAGUAGUGUUAGUAGUAGUAGUAGUAGUAGUAGUAGUAGUGAUAGUAGAAGUAGUAGGGUUAGUAGUAGUAGUGUUUGUAGUAGUAGUAGUGUUAGUUGUAGUAGUAGUGUUAGUUGUAGUAGUAGUGUUUGUAGUAGUAGUAGUGUUUGUAGUAGCAGUAGUGUUAGUAGUAGUAGUAGUAGUGGUAGUAGUAGUGUUAGUAGUAGUAGUAGUAGUAGUAGUGUUAGUAGUAGUAGUAGAGUUAGUAGUAAUGUUAGUAGUAGUAGUAUUAGUGUUAGUAGUAGUAGUAGUAGCAGUUGUGUUAGUAGUAGUAGUAGCAGUUGUGUUAGUAGUAGCAGUGGUGUUAGCAGUAGUAGCAGUAGUCUUAGCAGUAGUAGUAGCAGUAGUGUUAGUAGUAGCAUUAGAUUUAGUAGUAGUAGUAGUAGUAGUAGUAGUAGCAGUAGUGUUUGUAGUAGCAGUUGUAGUCGCAGUAGUGUUAGUAGUUGCAGUAGUAGUAGUAGUAGCAGUAGUAGUGUUAGUAGUACUAGUAGCAGUAGUGGUAGUAGUAGCAGUAGUAGUAGCAGUAGUAGUAGCAGUAGUGUUAGUAGUAGCAGUAGUGUUAGUAGUAGCAGCAGUAGUAGCAGUAGUGUAGGCAGUACCAGUAGUAGUGUUAGUAGUAGCAGUAGUGUUAGUGGUAGUAGUAGUAGUAGCAGCAAUAGUGUUAAUAGUAGCAGUAGUAGUAGUAGCAGCAGUAGUAGCAGUAGUGUUAGUAGUAGUAGCAGUAGUGUUAGUAGCAGUAGAAGUAGUAGUCGUAGCAGUUGUAGUAGCUGUAGUGUUUGUGGUAGCAGUAGUGUUAGUAGUAGCAGAAGUUUUAGUAGUAGCAGUAGUAAUAGCAGUAGUGUUAGCAGUAGCAGUAGUGUUAGUAGUAGCAGUAGAAGUAGUGUUAGUAGAAGUAGUAGCAGUAGUGUUAGUAGUAGUAGUAGCAGUAGUGUUAGUAGUAGUAGCAGUAGUGUUAGUAGUAGUAGCAGUGGUAGUAGCAGUAGUGUUAGUAGUAGCAGUAGUGGUAGUAGUAGUAGCAGUAGUAGUAGUAGUAGUGUAGCAGUAGUAGUAGUAGUAGUGGUGUUAGUAGUAGUAGUGGUGUUAGUAGUAGUAGUAGUGUUAGUAGUAGUAGUAGUGUUAGUAGUAGUAGUAGUGUUAGUAGUAGUAGUAGUGUUACUAGUAGUAGUAGUGUUAGUAGUAGUAGCAGUAGUGUUAGUAGUAGUAGUAGUAGUGUUAGUAGUAGUAGUAGUGUUAGUAGUAGUAGUAGUGUUAGUAGUAGUAGUAGUGUUACUAGUAGUAGUAGUGUUAGUAGUAGCAGUGGUGUUAGCAGUAGUAGCAGUAGUCUUAGCAGUAGUAGUAGCAGUAGUAGUAGUGUUAGUAGUAGCAGUAGUAGUAGCAGUAGUGUUAGUAGCAGUAGUAGCAGUAGUGUUAGUAGUAGCAGUAGUGGUAGUAGUAGUAGCAGUAGUAGUAGUAGUAGUAGUGUUUGUAGUAGUAGUGGUGUUAGUAGUAGUAGUAGUGUUAGUAGUAGUAGCAGUGGUAGUAGUGUUAGUAGUAGUAGUAGUGUUAGUAGUAGUAGUAGUGUUACUAGUAGUAGUAGUGUUAGUAGUAGCAGUGGUGUUAGCAGUAGUAGCAGUAGUCUUAGCAGUAGUAGUAGCAGUAGUAGUAGUGUUAGUAGUAGCAGUAGUAGUAGCAGUAGUGUUAGUAGCAGUAGUAGCAGUAGUGUUAGUAGUAGCAGUAGUGGUAGUAGUAGUAGUAGUUUUAGUAGUAGUAGCAGUAGUGUUAGUAGUAAUAGCUGUAGUAGUAGUGUUAGUAGUAGUAGCAGUAGUGUUAGUAGUAGCAGUAGUAGUAGCAGUAGUGUUAGUAGUAGCAGUAGUAGUAGCAGUAGUGUUAGUAGCAGUAGUAGCAGUAGUGGUACUUCAACUGUUCUGCCUGCGGCUAUGGAACCCUGACCUGUUCACCGGACGUGCUUGUUGCACCCUCGACAACUACUAUGAUUAUUAUUAUUUGACCAUGCUGGUCAUUUAUGAACAUUUUAACAUCUUGACCAUGUUCUGUUAUAAUAUCCACCCUGCACAGCCAGAAGAGGACUGGCCACCCCUCAUAGCCUGGUUCCUCUCUAGGUUUCUUCCUAGGUUUUUGGCCUUUCUAGGGAGUUUUUCCUAG